GAUGUCACCAGUGUUGUAGGAACAAGCUCACUUAGGAUUCACUCAGUGUCUAGCCACUACAUUGGUGGACAUGUUUUCUCGACUCAGCAAUCUUUUUGGGAGAGCCAAUGUGGAUGGGAGAGAGGCCAGAGAGAGGAGGAAGGAGGCUGGCCUUCCAUCUGAGAGUAAUGAAGGACGAAGGAGGUAGACUUGGAGAAUGUGGAGAUGCAGGUUAGAUUCUCAGCAGCAACAUGGCGGCUCACACCUGUCUGUAACUCCAGCUCUAACGCCAAAGGAGGCUACAAGCGCAGAAAAAAAUAUGGCAAACAGAGAUGGCUCAGUCAGUAAAGUUGUGAGACCUUUCUGGAAUGUGAACUCUGCUGCCAAUGAGCGUGGGAGAGAAGAGAUAUCAUAGACUGAAGCCAGGAUGGCUCCAGAAAGGCUUCGAUCCCAGUCUUGACUCUCAUGGUCACCUCGGCCAUUCGAAGGGAGCUCAGCAGUCCAGCUGGAGCCUUAUGCUUCCCAGUUCCAGAGACUUUCAGUGGGCUGAGAGACCAGGAAGUGGCAGCCUCUCCAGACCACCUGGAGACCUGGUAAAGAAGAUCUCACUGGGGCCUUCAGAAAUAUAGUGGGAUUCUAUGGAAUAAGUACUCCUACACUGUUGUGUGUUGUCCUGAUGCUGUUUGAAUUCUGAUAUUCUGCUUCCCCAAGAGAGGUUCUGCCCAACCAGCAGUCAAUCUCAUGCGAUCUCAUGUGAACCUUCUCCCAUUCUAUCUGGUCAAUAAAGCCUGUGAUUGG
ensembl:lincRNA